rnacentral:misc_RNA from 1 species
UCUCCGUUGGUGAACCAGCGGAGGGAUCAUUACAGGACUCGCAAGACUCCUACAACCCUGUGAACUUAACUAUAAGCACGUUGCUUCGGCGGGUGUCUCGGAGGGGGUUCUCCCUCCCCGAGACGCUAAACCCGCCGGCAGCCUACUAUACUCUGUCUCUUUGCGUUGGCAUCUCGAGUACAGUCAAACAAGUUAAAACUUUCAACAACGGAUCUCUUGGUUCUG